rnacentral:rRNA from 1 species
GAAUACAUAGCAUAUCAGAAGGCACACCCGGAGAACUGAAACAUCUUAGUACCCGGAGGAAGAGAAAGAAAAUUCGAUUCCCUUAGUAGCGGCGAGCGAAACGGGAAGAGCCCAAACCAACAAGCUUGCUUGUUGGGGUUGUAGGACACUCUAUACGGAGUUACAAAGGACGACAUUAGACGAAUCAUCUGGAAAGAUGAAUCAAAGAAGGUAAUAAUCCUGUAGUCGAAAAUGUUGUCUCUCUUGAGUGGAUCCUGAGUACGACGGAGCACGUGAAAUUCCGUCGGAAUCUGGGAGGACCAUCUCCUAAGGCUAAAUACUCUCUAGUGACCGAUAGUGAACCAGUACCGUGAGGGAAAGGUGAAAAGCACCCCGGAAGGGGAGUGAAAUAGAACCUGAAACCGUGUGCUUACAAGUAGUCAGAGCCCGUUAAUGGGUGAUGGCGUGCCUUUUGUAGAAUGAACCGGCGAGUUACGAUUUGAUGCAAGGUUAAGCAGUAAAUGUGGAGCCGUAGCGAAAGCGAGUCUGAAUAGGGCGUUUAGUAUUUGGUCGUAGACCCGAAACCAGGUGAUCUACCCUUGGUCAGGUUGAAGUUCAGGUAACACUGAAUGGAGGACCGAACCGACUUACGUUGAAAAGUGAGCGGAUGAACUGAGGGUAGCGGAGAAAUUCCAAUCGAACCUGGAGAUAGCUGGUUCUCUCCGAAAUAGCUUUAGGGCUAGCCUCAAGUGAUGAUUAUUGGAGGUAGAGCACUGUUUGGACGAGGGGCCCCUCUCGGGUUACCGAAUUCAGACAAACUCCGAAUGCCAAUUAAUUUAACUUGGGAGUCAGAACAUGGGUGAUAAGGUCCGUGUUCGAAAGGGAAACAGCCCAGACCACCAGCUAAGGUCCCAAAAUAUAUGUUAAGUGGAAAAGGAUGUGGCGUUGCCCAGACAACUAGGAUGUUGGCUUAGAAGCAGCCAUCAUUUAAAGAGUGCGUAAUAGCUCACUAGUCGAGUGACACUGCGCCGAAAAUGUACCGGGGCUAAACAUAUUACCGAAGCUGUGGAUUGUCCUUUGGACAAU